GGAAGUAAAAGUCGAAACAAGGUCUCCGUUGGUGAACCAGCGGAGGGAUCAUUACCGAGUGCAAACUCAUAACCCUUUGUGAACCUAUAUCUGUUGCUUCGGCGGCUCGCUCUCGGGCGAGCCCGCCGGUAAUAUCAGUAUCUCUGUUUGAACCCGACGAUACUUCUGAGUGUUCUUAGCGAACAGUUAAAACUUUUAACAACGGAUCUCUUGGCUCUA
rnacentral:misc_RNA from 1 species